rnacentral:pre_miRNA from 1 species
UUUUGACCAGGGCUAAUCUUCGAUACUUGAAGGAGAGGUUAUCCGUGUUGUCUUCUCUUUAUUUAUGAUGAAACAUACACGGGAAACCUCUUUUUUAGUAUCAAAUCCCACC